ACUAGUGGCGGACGGGUGAGUAACGCGUGAGUAACCUGCCUCUGAGAGGGGAAUAACGUUCUGAAAAGAACGCUAAUACCGCAUAAAGUAUCGAAGCCGCAUGACUUUGAUACCAAAGAAUUUAUCGCUCGGAGAUGGACUCGCGUCCGAUUAGUUAGUUGGUGAGGUAACGGCUCACCAAGACCGCGAUCGGUAGCCGGACUGAGAGGUUGAUCGGCCACAUUGGGACUGAGACACGGCCCAGACUCCUACGGGAGGCAGCAGUGGGGGAUAUUGCGCAAUGGGGGCAACCCUGACGGCCAGCAACGCCGCGUGAAGGAUGAAGGUUUUCGGAUUGUAAACUUCUUUUAUCAGGGACGAAGCUUGACGGUACCUGAUGAAUAAGCUCCGGCUAACUACGUGCCAGCCGCUGC
rnacentral:rRNA from 1 species